GAUGAACGCUAGCGGCAGGCUUAACACAUGCAAGUCGAGGGGUAGGAGAAGCUUGCUUUUCUGAGACCGGCGCACGGGUGCGUAACGCGUAUGCAAUCUACCUUUCACAGAGGGAUAGCCCAGAGAAAUUUGGAUUAAUACCUCAUAGUAUAAUUGAAUGGCAUCAUUUAAUUAUUAAAGAUUUAUCGGUGAAAGAUGAGCAUGCGUCCCAUUAGCUAGGUGGUAUGGUAACGGCAUACCAAGGCAACGAUGGGUAGGGGUCCUGAGAGGGAGAUCCCCCACACUGGUACUGAGACACGGACCAGACUCCUACGGGAGGCAGCAGUGAGGAAUAUUGGACAAUGGGCGCAAGCCUGAUCCAGCCAUGCCGCGUGCAGGAUGACGGUCCUAUGGAUUGUAAACUGCUUUUAUACAGGAAGAAACACUCCCUCGUGAGGGAGCUUGACGGUACUGUAAGAAUAAGGAUCGGCUAACCCCGUGCCAGCAGCCGCGGUAAUACGGAGGAUCCAAGCGUUAUCCGGAAUCAUUGGGUUUAAAGGGUCCGUAGGCGGUCAGGUAAGUCAGUGGUGAAAGCCCAUCGCUCAACGGUGGAACGGCCAUUGAUACUGUCUGACUUGAAUUAUUAGGAAGUAACUAGAAUAUGUAGUGUAGCGGUGAAAUGCUUAGAGAUUACAUGGAAUACCAAUUGCGAAGGCAGGUUACUACUAAUUGAUUGACGCUGAUGGACGAAAGCGUGGGUAGCGAACAGGAUUAGAUACCCUGGUAGUCCACGCCGUAAACGAUGGAUACUAGCUGUUGGGAGCAAUCUCAGUGGCUAAGCGAAAGUGAUAAGUAUCCCACCUGGGGAGUACGAACGCAAGUUUGAAACUCAAAGGAAUUGACGGGGGCCCGCACAAGCAGUGGAGCAUGUGGUUUAAUUCGAUGAUACGCGAGGAACCUUACCAAGGCUUAAAUGUAGAUUGACCGUUUGGAAACAGAACU
rnacentral:rRNA from 1 species